GGGUUCAAAGCAGGAGCAGUGCAGGUUUAGGAUGGGUCUUAAAUGAUGUUCACAAUCAUGGGAGAUGGAUUGGAAGGAAAUAAAAUUGGAAGCAGAGAUCCCAAAGAGAAGAUAAUUUAAAUAGCAUAGUAAGAGUUGAAAUCCUAAGAUAAAGGUAACAGUAGGAAUUACUAGUAGACAAGGAGAAUUUGAAAAGAACACACACACACACAAGUAAAAAGUCAGUCUUGUUUGAUCAAGGAAAUAUUCCAAGUUUUGCAGGUUAAGACAAUAAAGGCAAAGAUAACACAUGGAUCAAAAUCAUUUGAGACAGAGCUCACCUUUAUUGAUUGCAUCAACUGAAACAGCUUCCAUUAAGAGGAUCGGUGAGCAGGAGUAUGAAUUCCAUCAACAACAUGAGCAACUACUUUCACUGGACUCAUUAAAUUACUUAAAGCUCUAUUCCUUGGUCUUUCCUGCUACAGCAUGUUACAUAACAUCUACCUAUUGGGAUUGCUAUAAGAAUGGAUCUAAGAGUAUUUCUCAAGUACUUCAGGUUUUAGGAAAGUAUCUUACGUCAGUGGAACUGGUCCUGAGCAUGCAGCAAUGUGAACGCAAAGAAAGGAACUCCGGUGCAGGCGCAAAAGUCCAGAAGACAAUCAGCACGUCUGGUUUGAGGACCAGAUUUUACACAAAGAGCUGAAUAACCUUGGACAGGUCAAAUGAACUUUACAGCACUCAGUUCUCUUAUGUUUGAAAUGUAUGUAUUAAGAGGUAUGUCAUGUAUGCUAAGGCAAAAUGGAUUUCAUGUGCAGAUGUGUAAAAGGGGAGUUUCUGCGGAAUAGGGGGAGGUAUGCUGUAAGGGAUCAGGAGUAGGCAGUACAUACGUAAGAAAACAAGGAGUUAGAGAGUGAAUAGUGAUUUUUCAGGGUUGGAAGUGAAUGA